rnacentral:rRNA from 1 species
UACGUAGGGGCAAGCGUUGUCCGGAAUUAUUGGGCGUAAAGAGCGUGUAGGCGGCCAGAUAAGUCCGCUGUGAAAUCUCGAGGCUCAACUUCGAGCUGUCGGUGGAAACUAUCUGGCUAGAGUCCGGAAGAGGAGAUGGAAUUCCUGGUGUAGCGGUGAAAUGCGCAGAUAUCAGGAAGAACACCGGUGGCGAAGGCGGCUCUCUGGGCCUGUCCUGACGCUCAGGCGCGAAAGCUAGGGGAGCGAACAGG